AGAGUUUGAUUAUGGCUCAGGAUGAACGCUGGCGGCGUGCUUAACACAUGCAAGUCGAACGAAGCACUUGGAACAGAUUACUUCGGUUUGAAGUUCCAUUUGACUGAGUGGCGGACGGGUGAGUAACGCGUGGGUAACCUGCCUCAUACAGGGGGAUAACAGUUAGAAAUGACUGCUAAUACCGCAUAAGCGCACGGGACUGCAUGGUCUUGUGUGAAAAACUCCGGUGGUAUGAGAUGGACCCGCGUCUGAUUAGCUUGUUGGCGGGGUAACGGCCCACCAAGGCGACGAUCAGUAGCCGGCCUGAGAGGGUGAACGGCCACAUUGGGACUGAGACACGGCCCAAACUCCUACGGGAGGCAGCAGUGGGGAAUAUUGCACAAUGGGGGGAACCCUGAUGCAGCGACGCCGCGUGAAGGAAGAAGUAUUUCGGUAUGUAAACUUCUAUCAGCAGGGAAGAAAAUGACGGUACCUGACUAAGAAGCCCCGGCUAACUACGUGCCAGCAGCCGCGGUAAUACGUAGGGGGCAAGCGUUAUCCGGAUUUACUGGGUGUAAAGGGAGCGUAAGCGGUUUGGCAAGU
rnacentral:rRNA from 1 species